UACGGGGGGCUGCAGUGGGGAAUUUUGGACAAUGGGGGCAACCCUGAUCCAGCCAUUCCGCGUGAGUGAAGAAGGCCUUCGGGUUGUAAAGCUCUUUUGUCCGGAACGAAACGGUGAGCGUGAAUAGCGCUCGCUACUGACGGUACCGGAAGAAUAAGCACCGGCUAACUACGUGCCAGCAGCCGCGGUAAUACGUAGGGUGCGAGCGUUAAUCGGAAUUACUGGGCGUAAAGCGUGCGCAGGCGGUUUUGUAAGCCAGAUGUGAAAUCCCCGGGCUUAACCUGGGAAUGGCAUUUGGGACUGCAAGGCUGGAGUGCGGCAGAGGAGACUGGAAUUCCUGGUGUAGCAGUGAAAUGCGUAGAUAUCAGGAGGAAUACCGAUGGCGAAGGCAGGUCUCUGGACUGACACUGACGCUCAUGCACGAAAGCGUGGGGAGCAAACAGGAUUAGAUACCCCGGUAGUAUCUUUCUAGA
rnacentral:rRNA from 1 species